rnacentral:lncRNA from 1 species
UCAGAUUUCUGAGUGUGUGGGUAACAGCCCUGGAUCUGCCGAGGGAUGUUACUUCUCAUAGAAGCCUGGACACUCCUAUAUUACUCAGCAAUCAAGAAAAUGUCCCAUAGACAUGCUUAAAGGCCAAUCAAAUGAAGGUAAACAAAGAGUCGACUUUUCAUAUGGAAAUGGGAGAGUCUCUCAAAGAUGGGUCCCCCGAGCAGAAUAUAUUCCCCACUGGAUCUCUAGUUGAAAACUCCAACAAGACAGGCUGUUCAGCUAGGGAUCUUCCUGUCUCCACCUCCUACAGCUCCUGGAUUGGUGAUCAUUGCUCUCCAGAUUCAUCAAGAAAGUUUCUUUAUGCUGUGGAUGGUGGCCAACACAGAAAUUCACAACUGGUCAAAGUAUGGUGAAUAAGUGUCAACAUAGUGCUUAGCCCAAAAUGGGGCAUUUAUAUCAUACCUUUGCCCCAAGGACCAUAUAGAAGAGAGGGCAGGAAGAUGUCAAGGGUCAGAGAAUAAACAUGAUCGUAGACAUGGUGUAAUGUCUAAUCUAUUUCUGAAUGUAAUGGCAUUGAAAUAUUUUGAUGGAAGUAGGAGGACACAUAGUAAAAUAUUCAUGAUUCACUGGUCAUCUGGUAAAUCCCUGAAGAAAUGCUGAUAUGUACACCGCUGCCUUCUCUCAUGAGCUUCUAUAUGCAACAGAUGAGUGUAAUUGUCUAUGAAACAAAACAUCGGUAUCUACAUAUGAAUUUCAUAUUCAUGGCAAUGGAUGGAGACUAACAACAGUGCUUCUUAUGGUCUGGGGUGCAUCCCUUGACGUCCUGGUUGGUGUGACAUCCAGUGAUACCAAGACCUGAGCAGUAUCAAGCGAGCCACGAAUCUCACAACUGGAAGCAGUGUCGGAGGGGAGCCCCAGCCUCAGACCUGGGAGCAGAGUCAGAGGUAGGUAGGUUUGAGCUACAGGCCCUGAGCAGCGUCAGUGAGAGACCUGAAUCUCAGCCCAGAAGCAGCAUUAGAGGAAGGACUGAGCUUCAGGCCCGGAGCAGCAUCAAGGGAGCCAUGAGUCUCAGAACCCGCAGCAGUGUCAGAGGGAAGCCCUAACCUCAGCCCCAGGAGCGAAGAGUGAUCACUGGGUAAAGCAACAGUAGCACUAUGCAGCAGUAGCUUCCAGAAACUAUUACAAAAAGUUCCUCUGGAAUAGAGCACCUGUGUCCCAGCCAGCAUCCACUGCCAUUUCUCAGUGGGAGACACUCCACUACUACAUCUACUGACUCAGCUCCAGCUACACCUCCAACAGGAGGAGCGUCCACGGGGACUGUAGCCCCACCCGCACCUCAGGGCGUGACCACCUGAGCAUUGGGCCCACUUCCACCAGGAGGAGAGUUCACCUGAAGCUCUGCUCUACUUGUGCCUGAAGGAGCUGUCAAUGGAGCCACAGCCCCUAACUAUACCAA